rnacentral:lncRNA from 1 species
CCCGGUAGAGGCAGGGCGGGACUGUUGUGGUUGAGAUGAAGGCUAGUAAAUGGUGAAGUACUUCCCGGCCAGAGGGCACCUGCGCUCGGGAGGUUUGGGCGGCUUGGCGUCGGAGGAGAGCCCCACCCGCGGAGGAACCCAGCCUUGCCAACGGAGCUGGCGGAGCUCACUCCUCAGGUCAGGCGGGCGGCGUAGAAAACGCAGCGGAGCCAGGUGAAACCAAGGCACCGCCGUGGCUGGCCCCCGACAGUUCCUCUAGCCGGGAGGUUGGAGGAGCUGAAAACGCCGCGGAGCCCUCGGCCGCCCGAGCAGGGGCUGGACCCCAGCCCUUGCAGCCUCCCUUCUCCUGGCACCCAAGUGCAGUCCUGGCUGCAGAAGGGGCCGCGGGCGCACUGAGUUUCCAACCUCCAUUUCAGCCUGUCUGUCUCAGGGUGCAGCCUUAAUGAGAGGUGAUUCCUAAGCUGCUGGGAACCUGAGGUUGUCAAAGGGGCGGCAGGAAAUGGACAGCAGUAUAAAACCCAGAAGCAGAACUUGAAGGUUAAACCACUAGCCCAUUUCACAGAAUGUUUCAUCCAUUUGUGGACCAAAAGAUGGAGUUGGUUUUUAUUUUUAAAAAGAUAAUGUUAAUGAUCUGAUACCACUACAAAUAUUUACGUGAGAAGAUUCAUGGACUUGUCUUUUGGUUGGACUGUCACUCAUUUCUGAAAGUUUCUUCAGCCACAAUUUCUAUUUGAAAAUUCAAGUAUCAAAGGAUACCAGGUUUAGAAUGGUAUAAUGAUGUAUUUUGUCUGAGGACUGCAAAUUUUAUAGAGACCACAGUUGGAUUCCAGUGAUAUUCUGCAAUCAAAGUGAUUUGAUAAACCUAAUUUUGAAGCAUUUUAUAUUUAUAAGCGACAUCAAAAGAUGGGAGAAAAAAAUGGCGAUGCAAAAACUUUCUGGAUGGAGCUAGAAGAUGAUGGAAAAGUGGACUUCAUUUUUGAACAAGUACAAAAUGUGCUGCAGUCACUGAAACAAAAGAUCAAAGAUGGGUCUGCCACCAAUAAAGAAUACAUCCAAGCAAUGAUUCUAGUGAAUGAAGCAACUAUAAUUAACAGUUCAACAUCAAUAAAGGGAGCAUCACAGAAAGAAGUGAAUGCCCAAAGCAGUGGUGAGAUUUGAGAGCACAUUAUACCACCCUAAUAGGUGAAAGGGAGGAGCAGAGGGGCACUUCUGGAAGAACACAUGACUUCAAAGAUAAAUGGGUCCUAUGAGAAUAAGUGAAAGAUUUGUAACAGUGUCUGUCUGAGUAUAGUACUGACUUCCUCUGCUCUCCCUGAUUAGAUGAAAUCAUUCCUGGUUGAUGAAACUUCUGGGAGGGGAUUUAUGACAAUUGAGUUUCUUUUUGGGAGGAUCGAUUUUUAGACAGAUAAGGGAACUCCAGAGACAACUUCUUCCUGUAUUUGUUCAUUCUCAGAUGUCUUCAAUUCAAAAUAAUCUUUAUGUUACUAUAUCUCAUCUGGACAAUCCUUAAGGGAUUAUAUUUAGUUUUGCAAGAGAGAGGCUUUUAACCUCACUUGUUACCAAGAAAAAUGGUAACAACUAAUUCUAAACAUUUCUUUUCUUUCUGAAGAACCUUUUUUUCCGUAAAAAGUAAGUUGGUUUUUGUUUGGGGUCUUUUAAGGAAAUAAUUUUAUCAAUAGAAAUGCCGAAUAUUAUAAUUUCAUAUUUUUAUGUAGUUGGUCCAUCUGAAAUGUAACAAAUGCAUCAAGAUAAGAGUAUAUUUAUUUGCUAGCAGUGAAGUGUUUUUAAGUAAACAGUUGGGGAGAGUUAUGUAACUGACACUGUUGGCAAAUGUAAGGAUUGAAAACCUUUGGUAAUAAAGGUUCAUGUGGGCUGAAUACAGUGGCUCAGGCCUGUAAUCCAAGCACUUUAGGAGGCUGAGGUGGGAGGAUCACCUGAGCCCAGGAGUUUGAGACCAACCUGGGCAACACAGUGAGACC